rnacentral:rRNA from 1 species
ACAUGCAGUCGAGCGCGGGAAGCGAGCUGAUCCCUUCGGGGUGACGCUCGUGGAACGAGCGGCGGACGGGUGAGUAACACGUGGGCAACCUGCCUGUAAGAUCGGGAUAACUCCGGGAAACCGGGGCUAAUACCGGGUAAUACUUUCUUUCGCAUGAAGGAAAGUUGAAAGAUGGCUUCUCGCUAUCACUUACAGAUGGGCCCGCGGCGCAUUAGCUAGUUGGUGAGGUAACGGCUCACCAAGGCGACGAUGCGUAGCCGACCUGAGAGGGUGAUCGGCCACACUGGGACUGAGACACGGCCCAGACUCCUACGGGAGGCAGCAGUAGGGAAUCUUCCGCAAUGGACGAAAGUCUGACGGAGCAACGCCGCGUGAACGAUGAAGGUCUUCGGAUCGUAAAGUUCUGUUGUUAGGGAAGAACAAGUACCGUGCGAAUAGAGCGGUACCUUGACGGUACCUAACGAGGAAGCCCCGGCUAACUACGUGCCAGCAGCCGCGGUAAUACGUAGGGGGCAAGCGUUGUCCGGAAUUAUUGGGCGUAAAGCGCGCGCAGGCGGUUCCUUAAGUCUGAUGUGAAAGCCCACGGCUCAACCGUGGAGGGUCAUUGGAAACUGGGGAACUUGAGGACAGAAGAGGAGAGUGGAAUUCCACGUGUAGCGGUGAAAUGCGUAGAUAUGUGGAGGAACACCAGUGGCGAAGGCGACUCUCUGGUCUGUUUCUGACGCUGAGGUGCGAAAGCGUGGGUAGCAAACAGGAUUAGAUACCCUGGUAGUCCACGCCGUAAACGAUGAGUGCUANGUGUUAGGGGGCUUCCACCCCUUAGUGCUGAAGUUAACGCAUUAAGCACUCCGCCUGGGGAGUACGGCCGCAAGGCUGAAACUCAAAGGAAUUGACGGGGGCCCGCACAAGCGGUGGAGCAUGUGGUUUAAUUCUAAGCAACGCGAAGAAUCUUACCAGGUCUUGACAUCCUUGGGACUCCCUAGAGAUAGGGAUUUCCUUCGGGACAAGUGACAGUGUGCAUGGUGUCGUCAGCUCNGUCUGAAUGUNGGUANUCCCGCACGACGCANCUGAUCUAGUGCAGCAUUCAGUGGNNCCUCUAGUGGACUGACGGUNACAANNGANGANGCGGGGAUGACGGCCANCAUCAUGCCCCUAUGGAC